GAUGAACGCUGGCGGCGUGCCUAAUACAUGCAAGUCGAGCGAACAGACGAGGAGCUUGCUCCUCUGACGUUAGCGGCGGACGGGUGAGUAACACGUGGAUAACCUACCUAUAAGACUGGGAUAACUUCGGGAAACCGGAGCUAAUACCGGAUAAUAUAUUGAACCGCAUGGUUCAAUAGUGAAAGACGGUUUUGCUGUCACUUAUAGAUGGAUCCGCGCCGCAUUAGCUAGUUGGUAAGGUAACGGCUUACCAAGGCAACGAUGCGUAGCCGACCUGAGAGGGUGAUCAGCCACACUGGAACUGAGACACGGUCCAGACUCCUACGGGAGGCAGCAGUAGGGAAUCUUGCACAAUGGGCGAAAGCUUGACGGAGCAACGCCGCGUGAGUGAUGAAGGUCUUCGGGUCGUAAAACUCUGUUAUUAGGGAAGAACAAAUGUGUAAGUAACUAUGCACGUCUUGACGGUACCUAAUCAGAAAGCCACGGCUAACUACGUG
rnacentral:rRNA from 1 species